rnacentral:misc_RNA from 1 species
UUGGGGGGGGGAACUUGCCCAAUAACUUAAAUGGAAUAAGCAUAUCCACAUGGUUGAAAAGCUUGACCAAGUCAAGGGUUUCACCAAACCCAUACCUCAUUACAAAGCUUUUAACCAUGUUUAGGACAUCUAUUUUCUUUAUAUGUAUGCAGAAAGUAAAUUUUCAGCUAAACAGAGAAAAAUAAUACAUUCAGUUGACCCCAGCUAAUUUGAGAUCGAGACACUGAGACUUAAUUUACUUAUGUAACAUAAACCGCAAACAAGCAGCAUAAAGAAUCCAUCUAGUUCAAAAUCAUUCAUAUCCAUGCCAUUCUAGCAUAUGGAUUA